rnacentral:rRNA from 1 species
UGGGGAAUAUUGGACAAUGGGCGGAAGCCUGAUCCAGCCAUGCCGCGUGUGUGAAGAAGGCCUUCUGGUUGUAAAGUACUUUAAGUGGGGAGGAAGGGCAGUAAGCGAAUACCUUGCUGCUUUGACGUUACCGACAGAAUAAGCACCGGUUAACUCUGUGCCAGCAGCCGCGGUAAUACAGAGGGUGCGAGCGUUAAUCGGAUUUACUGGGCGUAAAGCGUGCGUAGGCGGCUAAUUGAGUCGGAUGUGAAAUCCCCGAGCUUAACUUGGGAAAUGCAUUCGAUACUGGUUAGCUAGAGUGUGGGAGAGGAUAGUAGAAUUCCAGGUGUAGCGGUGAAAUGCGUAGAGAUCUGGAGGAAUACCGAUGGCGAAGGCAGCCAUCUGGCCUAACACUGACGCUGAGGUACGAAAGCAUGGGGAGCAAACAGG